UACGAAGGGGGCGAGCGUUGUCCGGAAUUAUUGGGCGUAAAGGGCUCGUAGGCGGUUUGUCGCGUCGGGAGUGAAAACACCGGGCUUAACUCGGUGCUUGCUUUCGAUACGGGCAGACUAGAGGUAUGCAGGGGAGAACGGAAUUCCUGGUGUAGCGGUGAAAUGCGCAGAUAUCAGGAGGAACACCGGUGGCGAAGGCGGUUCUCUGGGCAUUACCUGACGCUGAGGAGCGAAAGUGUGGGGAGCGAACAGG
rnacentral:rRNA from 1 species